GAAAUGCGAUAAGUAAUGUGAAUUGCAGAAUUCAGUGAAUCAUCGAAUCUUUGAACGCACAUUGCGCCCGCCAGUAUUCUGGCGGGCAUGCCUGUUCGAGCGUCAUUUCCACCAUCAGGCCCCCGGGCCUGUGUUGGGGACCUGCGGCUGCCCGCAGGCCCCGAAAUUCAGUGGCGGUCGCGCCGUAGCAACCGAGCGUAGUAACUAAAACGUCUCGCUCUGGCUCGCUGGGCGCGCUCCGGCCGUAAAACACCCCCCCUUUUCGCAAAGGUUGACCUCGGAUCAGGUAGGGAUACCCGCUGAACUUAAGC
rnacentral:misc_RNA from 1 species